CAGGGGAUGAGGGCGCUUCUGAGAGUGUGUGCACAGCUCGAAGCCCACGCACUUAGUACUCAGAGGUGCUGGUGUGUCCCUCCCUGAGGCCUCCCGGGAGCCACCGACUGGUUCCUCGUCACUGCAAAGGCGGGGGACCCCUGCCUUGCUGCUGCCCGCGUUGUCACCCACAUCUGUGUCUGACAGGUGGCUUCAGUCACUGCCUCCCGCCACCGCCUCCAACCACAGGAUUUGGGGACACGUGGGGACUUUGGUUUCAGUCACGCCCCCUAGCUGCGGCCCCGUGGCCAUGCCGGCGGAUCCCGACAUCUAAUUCUAAAGGAAUUUUACAGGCAAGCCAUCAGUAAAAAUUAAAUUGUAUCAGCCAACAAUGACAUCGCAUCAAAAACAAGCACAUUCUGUCUCAAGACUCGCGGCUUCCUGAUUAUUCUCCUCCUGUCGCUGUUUUCUGCGCUUCCGAGGCAAUUGACGAGGGUCGUGGGGGGGGGCAGCGCCCCGAUGCUGUUCUCCCCAGUGUCUCUUCUCGGGUCUGCGCUCCUCGACUCGACUCGGGUAGCCUGACAUCGGCUGCGGUGGGGAGUGUUUAUACCACAGACAUCGGGGAGCGUUACAAACCGGGCCUGCCCUCCCCAAGCGGCGGUUGUGAAACACGCAACAGCACACGGCCGACUUUGAGGAGUCUCAGCACUAGUGUGUGUGCACAGCUUUAUGGACGCACAACUGGCCUGGGAUAAGCGACACAUAUUUAAAGCGUCCAGUUUGAUGAGUUUGGCCGUAUGAGUACAUCCGUUAAGCGGUCCCCACAGCGGAGAUUCCCAUCCCCUUUGAAAGUUUCUUCCUGCCCUCUGGAAUCCGUCCCUCUUCUCCCUGGGCCACCUCUGAUUUGCUUUCUAGCCCUGUUGAUUAGUUUGCAUUUUCUAGAAUUUUGUAUAAAUGGAGACUCUAGUAUGUACUAUUUUUUUUUUUUUUCUUCUUUCUGAGUCUGGCUUCUUUCACUUAGUAUAAUGUUUUUGAGAUUCAUCCACGUUGCUCAUGGAUCAGUAGUUUGUUUCUUUUUAUUGCGAAGCAGUAUUCCACUGUAGGCAUAUACACCACAAUUUGUUUAUCCGUUCACCUGCUGAUGGGCGUUUGAGUUGUUUCUAGUGUUCGGCUAUUACGAAUAAAGUCGUUCUAAAUAUUUA